rnacentral:rRNA from 1 species
UACGGGGGGGGCAAGCGUUGUUCGGAAUUACUGGGCGUAAAGGGUUCGUAGGUGGCCAACUAAGUCAGACGUGAAAUCCCUCAGCUUAACUGGGGAACUGCGUCUGAUACUGGUUGGCUUGAGUGCAGGAGAGGAAUGCGGAAUUCCAGGUGUAGCGGUGAAAUGCGUAGAUAUCUGGAGGAACACCGGUGGCGAAGGCGGCAUCCUGGACCAAUUCUGACGCUGAGGAGCGAAAGCCAGGGGAGCAAACGGG